rnacentral:rRNA from 1 species
GGUGAAAAGCACCCCGGAAGGGGAGUGAAAUAGAACCUGAAACCGUGUGCUUACAAGUAGUCAGAGCCCGUUAAUGGGUGAUGGCGUGCCUUUUGUAGAAUGAACCGGCGAGUUACGAUUUGAUGCAAGGUUAAGCAGUAAAUGUGGAGCCGUAGCGAAAGCGAGUCUGAAUAGGGCGUUUAGUAUUUGGUCGUAGACCCGAAACCAGGUGAUCUACCCUUGGUCAGGUUGAAGUUCAGGUAACACUGAAUGGAGGACCGAACCGACUUACGUUGAAAAGUGAGCGGAUGAACUGAGGGUAGCGGAGAAAUUCCAAUCGAACCUGGAGAUAGCUGGUUCUCUCCGAAAUAGCUUUAGGGCUAGCCUCAAGUGAUGAUUAUUGGAGGUAGAGCACUGUUUGGACGAGGGGCCCCUCUCGGGUUACCGAAUUCAGACAAACUCCGAAUGCCAAUUAAUUUAACUUGGGAGUCAGAACAUGGGUGAUAAGGUCCGUGUUCGAAAGGGAAACAGCCCAGACCACCAGCUAAGGUCCCAAAAUAUAU